AUAUAUAUACUCCCUCUGGAAAAUCUAUACAAAAAUCCAAAUUAGAACCAGGCAUUUAUUUGCUAAACAUAAAGUCAAUUCUAGGAAGAUAGAUACUCCUUAUAGAACUUAUCACAAUUAAAAUCGAUCAUUUGUGUGAUUAUAUACAUAUUCCUCCUCUUCAUGUCUAAAAAGUCUAUGGGGACAUGGAAUAUACUUCAAUAUGCAUCACCUUAACCACAGUAUCUAACUGUACUGCCCAGCACAUAGUAGGUACUAACAAACAUUUAUUGAAUCCAUGAAUGAAUGAAUCUUAUCUUUAAUGGUUCAGUGUACAAAUCCGUAUUAAACAUAUAACAUGUACAAAGCACAAUUUGAAGCAUUGGGAUUACAAAAUAUAAUAAGAUAGUUUCUACUUGUGUGGAGGUUCUUGAAUUCUGAUGCACUAGAUGGACACUACCAGUUAUGUCAGUCUGCUGAAGCCAUAGCCUGCCCUGCCAACAGGCACCAUGGAAGAGCUGAGCCUCAGCAGCCCUGUUAGUAUCAUGUGACUCUGUGCCUUGGCCACAUUUGAAUGGACUAGGGUGAAAAAGUAUGAAAGCAGGAAGUGGCAGCAUCCUAUCAUCUGAGCUUUAGCAAAAAGAUGGACCCUGACAAAUCAGAUUCCCAUGCUUGGGUAUUUAAAAACUACUAAAUGACUGAAGCAGAAGUGUAAAGAGAAGUUGCAAAGAUACUGUAGUGUUUUGAAUGGUGAUCCCCCAAAAGACGUCCAACCCAAAAGUUGUGAAUGUGACCUAAUUCGAAAAAUGUUUUUGUACUGGUAAGUAAAAGAUUUAAAGAUGAAAUCAUCCUGGAUUAAGUAGGUGGGUCAUAAAUCCAAUGAGCAUAUCUUUAUACAUGAGACAGAAAGGUUUGGACACGCAGGAGAGGUUCAUGGGAAUGAAGCCACAGACAGACAGUGAAGCUACGUAGCCACAAACCAAUGAAGACCCGGAGCAGCCAGAAUCUGGAAGAAGGAAGGAAGGACCCUCCCCUGGAGCCUUCAGAGCUAGUGUGAUCCUGCCCACACCUUGAUUCUUGAACUUCUGGCUUUCAGAACUGUCAGACAUGUUUGUUUCUUUCAGCCUCCGCACCUUAUUAUGGAGCCUUAAGAAACUAACACAAUGUCUAGAAAGAAGAAUAUACAGGAGUGAAAGUCAUGAACACCAGCUUGCAACCACUGAUGUAAUAUGGAAGAAGCAACUGAAUAAACCAAAAGCUUUGCAAUAGAGAAAUAACACAGUUUGGAGGAAAAUACUGAGCUUUGGAGGCGGCCCCAGGCGGUGUGUGCCAGUCGCCGUGUUAGAAGAACUCGACCUCGACUCAGGGUGAGGGACGGUGUCCAUACCCCAUACUGGCACAGGGGUUGUACCGCUGAGGGAAAGGAGUUGGACUCCGAACCUCCAGGAGAGUGCAAGGACACUACUGAAAGGAAUAAUAAGGCUUAUCUCUAGGAUCCAUAAGUUGGACCCUGGGCUUUUGUUACACAUGGGAACCCAGGCACACCAAAGCAUUGCUGCUCACCUAGAUAACCAGGUUCCAGUUGAGAGUCCCAGAGCUAUUUCCCACACCAAUGAGAAUGACCCAGCUAAGCAUGGGGAUCAGCAUGAGGGUCAGCACUACAACAUCUUCCCCCAGGAUAUGAAGACAGUAGUUCCCCAGGGCCUUCCUCCUCGCUUUGUGAUGCAGGUGAAGACAUUCAGUGAAGCUUACCUGAUGGAAAGGAAACCAGCCCUGGAACUUCUGCAUUACCUGAAAAAACACCAAUGUUGCUUAUCCGACUGUAUGAUAUCUUCUGUAUGGGGAGAAGGGAACAGGAAAAACUCUCAGUCUUUGCCAUAUUAUUAAUUUCUGUGCAAAACAGGACUGGAUGAUACUACAUAUUCCAGAUGCUCAUAAUGGGGUAAAAAAUUUCCGGGAACUUCUACAGUCGAACUACAACAAACAACCCUUUGAUCAACCUUUAGAGGCUUCAACCUGGCUGAAGAAUUUCAAAACUACAAGUGAUCGCUUCCUGAACCAGAUAAAAAUUCAAGAGAAGUAUGUCUGGAAUAAGAGAGGAAGCACUGAGAAAGGCAGUCCUCUGGGAGAAGUGGUUGAACAGGGCAUAACACAGUUGAGGAACGCCGCAGAUGCAUUGGAAUUGUGCUGAAACAGCUAAAGAGGCAAAGUUCUUUGGGUAUUUUUCACCUCCUGGUGGCCGUGGAUAGAAUAAAAGGCACUUGGAAUUGGAUCAUAGAGAGCAGCUAUGCCACUUCUCUAGUUUAGUUCUGGUGUAAAGAUACACAGAUUCCUGCUCUUGAUAAUCCUGCUGCUUUGGAAGAAGCUUCUUUUCCUGUUUAUCCAUUAAGAAGUCAGGCAUGUUUGGGUUUUAUAUUUGUUUACUCUUACAGGAAACUUUUCAUCAUUCCCUAAGGUUAAAGCAUUUUGUAAAGAAUUCUAAGUGGAAAAUUGCAAUAUAAAGCAGAAAGUUGUAAACAAGUCCAGCAUGCCUUCUUUACUAAUGGACUUCCCAAGAGAAACACUGGGUCUGGCUAGAAAUUCCAUGAAAAGCUUCCUGCAUGAACUUAUUAAAUUAUACCCUGCAUGUCUUGAAAGUUGAGUGGGGACUUUUCAACUGACUAAUAAGAGAUGAAAUGACAAGAAAAAUUUUCAAAA